UAUUAAGAAGCUUAAUUUGAGUUUUGAAUUUUUAAUUCAAAGGGUGGUAUAUUAAAUACCCUUAAUAA
rnacentral:tRNA from 1 species